UUAUGUCUUCGUUGGGCCAAUUUUCAAUGAUUAUAGCUCUGUUGGGUACUCUUUGCUUGUCAAAAAGGAGAAAGCUGUGAUGGUGAAUGUGAACCGUGUGACCAUCGGCAAUGGGCCAUCAUUUGGCUGGGUUUUCAUGGCUGAUUUUCUAACUGCAUUGGCCAAAAGGUUGAAGAGAAACCCCACUGCUCUUGAGAAUCAUCACCGAAUAUAUGUCCCUCCUGGAAUGCCUCUCAACUAUGCGAAGGACGAAC
rnacentral:lncRNA from 1 species